rnacentral:tRNA from 1 species
GAUAAGGUGGCUGAAAUAUUAGGCUGUAAAUUGUAAAUUUAUAUAUGGUUAAUUAACCUCUUAUCA